UACGAAGGGGGCUAGCGUUGCUCGGAAUCACUCGGCGUAAAGGGUGCGUAGGCGGGUCUUUAAGUCAGGGGUGAAAUCCUGGAGCUCAACUCCAGAACUGCCUUUGAUACUGAAGAUCUUGAGUUCGGGAGAGGUGAGUGGAACUGCGAGUGUAGAGGUGAAAUUCGUAGAUAUUCGCAAGAACACCAGUGGCGAAGGCGGCUCACUGGCCCGAUACUGACGCUGAGGCACGAAAGCGUGGGGAGCAAACAGG
rnacentral:rRNA from 1 species